UGCAUGCCUGCAGGUCGACGAUUGCCUACGGGAGGCAGCAGUGGGGAAUCUUGGACAAUGGGGGAAACCCUGAUCCAGCCAUGCCGCGUGAGUGAUGAAGGCCCUAGGGUUGUAAAACUCUUUCGGCGGGGACGAUAAUGACGGUACCCGCAGAAGAAGCUCCGGCUAACUUCGUGCCAGCAGCCGCGGUAAUACGAAGGGGGCUAGCGUUGUUCGGAAUUACUGGGCGUAAAGCGCGCGCAGGCGGUUCUUCAAGUCAGAGGUGAAAGCCCAGGGCUCAACCCUGGAAUGGCCUUUGAGACUAGAGAACUAGGGUACGGGAGAGGUGAGUGGAAUUCCGAGUGUAGAGGUGAAAUUCGUAGAUAUUCGGAAGAACACCAGUGGCGAAGGCGGCUCACUGGCCCGUUACCGACGCUCAGGCGCGACAGCGUGGGGAGCAAACAGGAUUAGAUACCCUGGUAGUCCACGCCGUAAACGAUGGAUGCUAGCCGUUGGUAAGCAUGCUUAUCAGUGGCGCAGCUAACGCAUUAAGCGUCCCGCCUGGGGAGUACGGCCGCAAGGUUGAAACUCAAACGAAUUGACGGAAUCUCUAGAGGAUCCCCGGGUACC
rnacentral:rRNA from 1 species